CAGUAGCCGCGGGAAUACGGAGGGCGCGAGCGUUACCCGGAUUUACUGGGCGUAAAGGGCGUGUAGGCGGCCUGGGGCGUCCCAUGUGAAAGGCCACGGCUCAACCGUGGAGGAGCGUGGGAUACGCUCAGGCUAGAGGGUGGGAGAGGGUGGUGGAAUUCCCGGAGUAGCGGUGAAAUGCGCAGAUACCGGGAGGAACGCCGAUGGCGAAGGCAGCCACCUGGUCCACUUCUGACGCUGAGGCGCGAAAGCGUGGGGAGCAAACCGGAUUAGAUACCCGCGUAGUCCCUGUCUCUUAUAC
rnacentral:rRNA from 1 species